rnacentral:rRNA from 1 species
UACGGAGGGUGCAAGCGUUAUCCGGAUUCACUGGGUUUAAAGGGUGCGUAGGCGGGCUUUUAAGUCAGUGGUGAAAUCCCAGAGCUUAACUCUGGAACUGCCAUUGAUACUGAAUGUCUUGAAUAUCCUGGAGGUAGGCGGAAUAUGUCAUGUAGCGGUGAAAUGCUUAGAUAUGACAUAGAACACCAAUUGCGAAGGCAGCUUACUACGGGACGAUUGACGCUGAUGCACGAAAGCGUGGGGAUCAAACAGG